rnacentral:tRNA from 1 species
CAGGAUAUGGCUAAAACAGAAAAGCACCUCACUUACACCGAGAAGAUAUUCGUGCAAAUCGAAUUAUCCUGA